rnacentral:rRNA from 1 species
GACGGACGCUGGCGGCGUGCUUAACACAUGCAAGUCGAACGGAAAGGCCCUGCUUUUGUGGGGUGCUCGAGUGGCGAACGGGUGAGUAACACGUGAGUAACCUGCCCUUGACUUUGGGAUAACUUCAGGAAACUGGGGCUAAUACCGGAUAGGAGCUCCUGCUGCAUGGUGGGGGUUGGAAAGGUUCGGCGGUUGGGGAUGGACUCGCGGCUUAUCAGCUUGUUGGUGGGGUAGUGGCUUACCAAGGCUUUGACGGGUAGCCGGCCUGAGAGGGUGACCGGCCACAUGGGGCCUGAGAUACGGCCCAGACUCCUACGGGAGGCAGCAGUGGGGAAUAUUGCACAAUGGGCGGAAGCCUGAUGCAGCAACGCCGCGUGCGGGAUGACGGCCUUCGGGUUGUAAACCGCUUUCGCCUGUGACGAAGCGUGAGUGACGGUAAUGGGUAAAGAAGCACCGGCUAACUACGUG